ACAUCAUCAGUGAAAGAGAGAGAAGUCAGUUGGUGACCAGGUAGAUGGACAUUAAACAUUGGGGAUGAAAACUCGAAUUGCUGACAAGUUUUUGGUGUGAGCAUCACAUCUCAACAACUAGAGUGAAGAAAUAAUUAUCUAGGAUGGCAAUGAAACACACUGAUCCUACAUUUAUAAUAUGGAUAAAAGAAGAAAAAAAAGACAGGAUCAAAAGUGGAUUUUAGUUGUAAACUCAGCCAUGGCAGCAAUACAAUGAAUCCACUGAAUGCAUCCUUCAUUUGACAGUGAGACAAACCCAAAUACAGUUGUCUUUCCCAUGAAAACUGCAGCUCAAAUUUUAGACAUACACCUAGUUCUCCCAUUUUAUGCUAAAAUCUGAUGAGAAAUCUUGUUAGACAGAGGUGAAUGGAUGAGCCAAUGAAAAAUAAAGACAAGGACUGCAGUGGGAGGUGCCCAAGAAUUUUUCUGACAUAAAAAGAGACACACAGACCAAUGGAACAGAAUAAAGAACCAGAAGCAAAUCCACGCAUCUACAGUGAAGUCAUUUUUAACAAAGCUUCCAAGAACAUACAUUGGGGAAAGACAGUCUAAUCAAUAAAUGGUGCUGAGAAAACUAGAUAUCCAUAUGCAAAAGAAUAAAACUAGACCCCUAUCUCUCACCAUAUCCAAAAAUAAAAUCAAAAUGAAUAAAAAGCUUCAAUCUAAUACCUCAAACUAUGAAACUUCUAUAGGAAAACACUGAGGGAAGUCUCCAGGACUUCUGGGCAAAGAUUUCUUGAGCAAUACCCUACAAGAAUAGACAAUCAAAGAAGACAUGGACAAAUGGGAUUACAUCAAGUUAAAAAGCUUCUGCACAAAAAAGGAUACAAUCAACAAAAUGAAGAGACAACCCACAGAAUGGGAGAAAAUAGUUGUAAACUACUCACCUGAGAAUGGAUUAAUAACCAGAAUAUAUAAGGAACUCAAACCACUUUAUAGGAAAUAAUCUAAUAAUCUGAUCAAAUUAAGGGUAAAAGAUUUGAAUAGACAUUUCUCAAAAGAAGACAUACAAAUGGUUUUAUUAUCUACCUAUAAACUGCCCUAUUCCUGAAGCCCUGCAAGCUAGGGCUGGGCAACUUGAUAUAAACUUCAGAGGACAAUCUUCAUGCAUGCUGCUGUGUGGGCUGCUAAGGAAGUUCACCAAAACAUCCAAUGACAUAAACUAAGCUUGUCCAACAUGUGGCCCACAGGCUGCAUGCAGCCAAAGAUGGCUUUGAAUGUGGCCCAACACAAAUUAAUAAACUUUCUUAAAAUAUUAUGAAUUUUUUUGUGAUUUUUUUAGCUCAUCAUUUUUUAGCUAUCAUUAGUGUUAAUGUAUUUUAUGUGUGGCCCAAGACAAUUAUUCUUCUUCCAAUAUGGCCCAUGGAAGCUAAGACAUUGGACAUACCUGACAUAAACAGAGACAUUCAGAUUACUAACCAGAAAAAUCAUUAGAUUGC
rnacentral:lncRNA from 1 species